CGUGCAAUACUGCAAUUACUAAUAAUUCAUCACUUUCAACUCGCUUUGUAAUAAACUCGAUCAGUUCAUAAUUCUCACGUAAUAACCUUAACCAAAAAGCACCAAAUGGUCUAAUAUGAAAAAAUCAUGAACAUCGAAUAUACAUAUAUCAAACAAAUAUAAUAUAGACGAUCAUGAAAAUUUAUUGGAGUAAUAUUUAGUACUAUUGUUCGUACCAUCAAUAGAUGUCAUUAACUAGAGAUCUGAUGAAGCCGAGCCCUAAUUAAGAACGAAGUCGCCUUUGGUGGAGAGAGUUUUACUUCAAAAGUGGGACUUUUAAGUGCAAAUUAAAUGCAGAUGAAUCAGGUCCCAAAAGAGAUACUGGACAACGGAUAAAAAAUCAAAAAUAUCAUGAAAAGGUAUUGUUCCUAACAAAGUGUAACAUACGACGCACACACAGAAUUCGUAUCCGUUGUUAUUUAAAAAAAAAUUGAGUUGCAAAACUUAUUGAAAAAAGAAAAAAAGAGAGGAUAUAUACUUACUGUAUUGAAGUGUGUACUGUAGAUAGAGUUCGAUCACCAUGUAUAUCUGACAAAACAAAGUGGCCAUUCUCAACGAAGAGGAAUUGAAGAGAAGAAAUAAAAUCUGAGGUAGCUCCCUCCUUUCGUCGUCCUCCCACUUGCCCAAACUUUAUCAUAUCCAUAUUCUUGUUAAUUAUUGUUUGUAAAACGUACUACUCUAGUUAAUUUAAAGAUGAAGAGAGGAAGAAGGAUAAAAGUUACUAAUGGUUGAUGGGCUAUAUAUUUUGUUAAGAUAUAUAUAUUAUUUUUAGAAAUAUAAAA
rnacentral:lncRNA from 1 species